rnacentral:rRNA from 1 species
CCUACGGGCGGCAGCAGUGGGGAAUAUUGGGCAAUGGGCGCAAGCCUGACCCAGCAACGCCGCAUGAAGGAAGAAGGCCUUCGGGUUGUAAACUUCUUUUGUCAGGGACGAAGAAAGUGACGGUACCUGACGAAUAAGCCACGGCUAACGACGUGCCAGCAGCCGCGGUAAUACGUAGGUGGCAAGCGUUAUCCGGAUUUACUGGGUGUAAAGGGCGUGUAGGCGGGAGAGCAAGUCAGACGUGAAAUUCCAGGGCUCAACCCUGGAACUGCGUUUGAAACUGUUCUGCUUGAGUGAUGGAGAGGCAGGCGGAAUUCCGUGUGUAGCGGUGAAAUGCGUAGAGAUACGGAGGAACACCAGUGGCGAAGGCGGCCUGCUGGACAUUAACUGACGCUGAGGUGCGAAAGCGUGGGGAGCAAACAGGAUUAGAUACCCCGGUAGUC